GCUCAGCCGUAAACCAAGGUAGUAUAAACACAACACUACCCGCCAGAGAACUACAAGUGAAAAACUUAAAACUCCAAGGACUUGGCGGUGCUCCACACCAACCUAGAGGAGCCUGUCCUAUAAUCGAUAAUCCACGUUACACCCUACCACCUUUUGCCCCCAGCCUAUAUACCGCCGUCGAAAGCCUACCUUCUGAAAGAAGCACAGUAGGCAAAACAGUUAUUAACUAGCACGUCAGGUCAAGGUGUAGCACAUGAGGUGGAAGAGAUGGGCUACAUUUUCUGCCACAGAAAACACGAACAGCCUAAUGAAACUUAGGCCAAAAGGCGGAUUUAGCAGUAAGACAAACAAGAAGCCCUGUCUUAAACCCGCUCUGGAGCGCGC
rnacentral:rRNA from 1 species